rnacentral:rRNA from 1 species
AACGAACGCUGGCGGCAUGCCUAACACAUGCAAGUCGAACGAGACCUUCGGGACUAGUGGCGCACGGGUGCGUAACGCGGGGGAAGCUGCCCUUGGGUUCGGAAUAACUCGCCGAAAGGCGUGCUAAUACCGGAUGAUGACGGAUGACCAAAGAUACGUCGCCCAAGGAUGAGCACGCGUUGGCUUAGCUAGUUGGUGAGGUAAAGGCCCACGAAGGCGACGAUCGAUAGCGGGGCUGAGAGGAUGAUCCGCCACACUGGGGCUGAGACACGGCACGGAAUACUACACGAGGCGCGAGUGCCGGAUCUUGCCCUACCGCGGGAGUGCAGAUGCCGUUCUGCCGGGUGAGUCCUGUAGUCCUUAGGGUUGUACAGCUCUUUUACCCCGGGUUGUACUGACCGUACCCGAAGAAUAAGCUCCGGCUAACUUCGUG